GGAGAGAUGCGAGAGCGGUUGAAUCGGGCGGUCUCGAAAACCGUUGAGCCCGCAAGGGCUCCGAGGGUUCGAAUCCCUCUCUCUCCG
rnacentral:tRNA from 1 species